UGAUACCAUAUGCAGUCUAUGC
rnacentral:siRNA from 1 species